rnacentral:rRNA from 1 species
UGAGGAAUAUUGGUCAAUGGGCGAGAGCCUGAACCAGCCAAGUAGCGUGCAGGAUGACGGCCCUAUGGGUUGUAAACUGCUUUUAUGUGGGGAUAAAGUGCGUGACGUGUCAUGCAUUGCAGGUACCACAUGAAUAAGGACCGGCUAAUUCCGUGCCAGCAGCCGCGGUCAUACGGAAGGUCCGGGCGUUAUCCGGAUUUAUUGGGUUUAAAGGGAGCGUAGGCUGUCUAUUAAGCGUGUUGUGAAAUUUACCGGCUCAACCGGUGGCUUGCAGCUCGAACUGGUCGACUUGAGUAUGCAGGAAGUAGGCGGAAUUCAUGGUGUAGCGGUGAAAUGCUUAGAUAUCAUGACGAACUCCGAUUGCGCAGGCAGCUUACUGUAGCAUAACUGACGCUGAUGCUCGAAAGUGCGGGUAUCAAACAGG